rnacentral:sRNA from 1 species
CUAAAUAGAAUUAUUUUUAUUCUUGUCCUUUUAAAAUCAUGUCUGCAGUGAAAUUAAGCUUUAAGCUCCUAGCUAGAAAUCCACUGGUGACCUUGAAGAAUUUUAUACUUGUAGAGCUGGUUUCUGAUGUUGCAUAUAAAUGUAUGCAUCUCAUUAUAUAAGAGCUGUAUUUAUAAAUCUGGCAUUGGACAGUGUUUGACACUAGAAUAAAAGCCUGGUUUUGGAAAGUAUGGAAUGAUCAGUAAACAUAGCUACUUACCUACAUACAUGCAUGCCACCACUCAGGAAAAUAUAACUUGUUUCAAAAUCUUUGCUUUUCAGAUGAAAUACCUGUCACAAAGAGAACAUUAAAAAUAAAACAAGAAUCUUCUGAAGAAGCACAGAAGAGAGACAUCAUGCAGAAUAUUGUACAGAUUUUGGAAUCGGUACAGUUGAAAUGGGAACUUUUUCAGAGCUGGACAGACUUUUCAAGGCUCCAUCUUUCUAAUAAACUGGCCAUUUUUGGAAUUGGUUAUAACACCCGUUGGAAAGAGGAUAUCCGUUACCAUUAUGCUGAGAUCAGCUCCCAGGUGCCCCU